rnacentral:lncRNA from 1 species
GGAAGAUUUGGGGAACGGAGGAAUUUGGGGUUGGAGGGUGGGGAAAUUUGGGGUGAGAUCGGGGCGGUUUUGGGUUGAAAAAGUUGGAUUUUGGGUGCGUUGCGUUGCAGAAGCCGGGGCUGCUGGGGGAGGCGCCAUUGAGGGUGCUGCCCCAGGGCAUCAUGGGAAUGCCAACGCUGAACGCUGCGCCGCUGCUGGGCGACACCGCCACUGGUAUGGCACCUUCCAGGACCUUCCCAACCCAUAUUCUGACCUUCCAGGACCUUCCCAACCCAACCCGUCCUUCUGAGACCUUCCAGGACCUUCCCAACCCAUAUUCUGACCUUCCAGGACCUUCCCAACCCAUAUUCUGA